UUUUCUAAAACAGUGAGCUUAAGCAAUAACAAAUAAUGGAUCUUAAAAUAAAGUUAAAAUGUAAAAAGACCAGCAAUACCACACUAACAAUUUCAGCUGCAUUCAUGUUCCAACGAAAGAUCACCACUACCACACUUUAGUUAGUGCAUUCAACAACAAUUUGAGAGGGAAAAAUACAUAAGUUUAAGAGGGCAUUUCCUCACAAUGAACUUCAUCAAGGUAAAAUUUCGAUCCAAAAGAAAUAUGAAUAAUUAUAAACAAUCCAACUUGGUCAAGGAUAUUGAAACUAAAAUUUGCUUGACCAUCUUAUCAAACCCAGCAUUGUGCUGCACUGGAAUUUCAGUCUUCACCUCUUCAAUUUCAGCUUUCAAAUCUUCAAUACACAAAAUCAUUCAAUGAGACAUUUUUGGUAGUGUCAACAACAUUUCAAUCCGCAAACUGUCACAUUGCAAGCAAAAAAUCAACAACAUUUCUAACCAUUCAACAACAACAUUUAUAUUUCGGCAGUGUCAUUUCAAUCUGCAAACUAUCACAUUGCAGUCUAACUAACUAUAAUCAACAUUAACAAACAUAUUUCUAACAAAUUUCAUCAUCAACAAUCCAAAAAACAAAAACAAAAAUUCAUUGAGACAUUUUAUCAAACACCUAGAGUUCAUAUUUCAAUCAACUUAAAAUCAAACAAUUUCAAAUACCUAAAACUACCACAUUUCACUCUAAACAACAUCUAAAAUACAUUUUCUAACUUAAUUUAUCACUAACAAUCAUCAAAACUAACACGCAAGACAAAUUCAUAAAAACCUAGAAAUGUUAAAUUUCUUACAAAAUUCUAAAAUUUCAACCAAAAAAAAUGGAAUGGAGUAGGAUGAUCAUCACUUACUUGAUAUUGUGGGAGAAAUUGGCUUUGAUUGGCGCAAGAAUGGUGAAAAUCGCACUUGGAGGAGAAAAUUUUGUUUUUUGAGAAGUUGGAA
rnacentral:lncRNA from 1 species